GCUAAAAUUAAUUACAGAAAUCAAAGAGGGGCAGUGAAACUUAACUCUGUCCGGUGUCGAAGCCAAACUGUGUUAGGUACUCGGCCAUAGUACGCACUUUUCAGGACAUGGCCAACAAAUAUAGUUUUACUAUCCUACUUAUCUUUUGCCUGGCCGCACCAGCUAUCUCAGUCCACGCCUGCAAUCCACAACUCAAUGACUGUAGCAACUUCUCCAAAAGGCUUGAGGCAUUGAAGAAACGAAAUGUUGGCUGCCCUAAAAUUGCAGGCACAGUAUGCGACCCAGACCUUGCCAAUCCUUGUCCUUGCCCGAAGUAUGGUGCUACAUACUUAUGCGAGUGGGAGAUCAAAAGCCUCACGCCUUAUACGGGAAGAUAUGAAUGCGUCAGACAAUGUUUGGGCGAAUGUUGAUAGGACUGAACGGGAAAUUUAUGUUUUUUUGCGGCUACAUAUAGCGUGGUUAAUUACGUGGUUAAUUUUUCUGCAAAAUAGUUUCGAGAUUUUCAUUGGUGUUGUGUUCUGCUUUUUCUUGAUAUAUGUUUCUGUAAGUUGUUUUUUGUUUGUUUCAUAUUUUAAUCAUGAGAAAAAAGUUAUCGAAGGAAACCUUUGAAGGAAGUUUUGAGGGACAGUUAGGCCCAGUUCAGACACCGAACUUUUCAUGAGCCGAACCAAAUACAUUGAAUCAAGCACAUGAAAAGUUCGG
rnacentral:misc_RNA from 1 species